CCUUCAUCAAGACCCCCUUCAUCAAGACCGGGUUCAUCAAGACCCCCUUCAUCAAGACCGCCUUCAUUAAGACCCGCAUCAUCAAGACCCGCUUCAUCAAGACCCCCUUCAUUAGGACCCGCUUUAUCAAGACCCGCAUCAUCAAGACCCGCUUCAUCAAGACCCCCUUCAUCAAGAUCCCCUUCAUUAAGACCCGCUUCAUGGAGACCCGCUUCAUCAAGACCCGCUUCAUGAAACAUCUGGCCUGACGUCUCUAACAUCUGGCUCAGCUUUGGCUGGUCAGCAGAGGGGGGGCGGCGCCUCUGCUGGAGAAUCAUGUCCAUAAAAAGUCACAUUGAAACACGUUAUUUUUUGUUGAAAUGUUGAGAAAAUAUUGAAAAAGAAGAAGAUCGAAGAGACUACGACGUAAUAUAACGUGAAUCACUGUAUAAAGUCUGUGUUACUUGUAUCAUAAAAACACCAAAUAACAGUAAAUAUGUGUGUCGAGGAUUGUAUGACCUUAUGAUGUUGUACCACGUGGACCGGAGGUGAUCUCCCAGCAUGCUUUGUGUUGCAGUGCCAGUACGCCUUCCUGCAUCAGUGCGUGCGCGACGUGCUGCGAGCGCGGAAGCACCGCGGCGAGCAGGAGAAGCCGCUGUGUCCCGUGUACGAGAACUUCAACCCCGAGUACUGCCGGGAUUUCAUCUUCAGCGGACGCUGAGCGCAGGAGAGACGGAGUGAUGCUCACAAACAACAACAACAACAACAACAGACAAUACGGCCAGCUGGUUUUAUACACAUUAAAACAGACCAAGGCUGUAACGCGUUAGUCACAAAGAAACAUUUUAGUAGUUUAUUCAUAUUUAACGUCAAUUUGUGACCAGAUGAAAACUUUAAAAAAAAUCACAAUUUAAAACGAUGCCUUUAAAAAAAAAAGGCUGAUCAAUAAAAGUUGUAAUCUGUUUAUUUAUGAGUCACACACAUCGCUGUAUGUAAAUAAUGCUUCUUUAUACGAGUAGACGAGGUUUUCUAUUUAUCACAUUUAAUGAAAAUUAGCUGCAAGAACUUCAUCACGUUGUUGAUAUUUAGACAUAAAGUCCAAUUAGCAGAAAAAGAUUUGACUCUUUUUGAAAUGUAUCAAUAAAUAACUUCAGUUCUGUUAUAUUGAAUUGUGUUAUUAAACAUAAUAUAAACAUUAUGUUGUUAUUAUUAGUGAUUAAAGGUUCAUUUUACUCGGUGUAACAUAUUUAUUGGAUUAUUAAAAGAGCCGAAAAAUAA